rnacentral:rRNA from 1 species
GAUGAACGCUAGCGGCAGGCUUAAUACAUGCAAGUCGUGGGGCAGCAUGAGUAGCAAUACUUGAUGGCGACCGGCAAACGGGUGCGGAACACGUACACAACCUUCCGAUAAGUGGGGAAUAGCCCAGAGAAAUUUGGAUUAAUACCCCGUAACAUAUAGAGUAGGCAUCUUCUUUAUAUUAUAGCUUCGGCGCUUAUUGGUGGGUGUGCGUCUGAUUAGGUAGUUGGCGGGGUAACGGCCCACCAAGCCUACGAUCAGUAGCUGAUGUGAGUGCAUGAUCAGCCACACGGGCACUGAGACACGGGCCCGACUCCUACGGGAGGCAGCAGUAAGGAAUAUUGGACAAUGGGCGAAAGCCUGAUCCAGCCAUGCCGCGUGAAGGAUUAAGGUCCCCUGGAUUGUAAACUUCUUUUAUUUGGGACGAAAAAAGGGAAUUCUUUCCCACUUGACGGUACCAAGUGAAUAAGCACCGGCUAACUCCGUGCCAGCCGCCGCCACAC